rnacentral:rRNA from 1 species
UACGGAGGGUGCAAGCGUUAUCCGGAUUCACUGGGUUUAAAGGGUGCGUAGGCGGGUAAGUAAGUCCGUGGUGAAAUCUCUGAGCUUAACUCAGAAACUGCCGUGGAUACUAUUUGGCCUUGAAUAUUGUGGAGGUGAGCGGAAUAUGGUCAUGUAGCGGUGAAAUGCUUAGAUAUGACAUAGAACACCAAUUGCGAAGGCAGCUCACUACACAAUGAUUGACGCUGAGGCACGAAAGCGUGGGGAUCAAACAGG